AUUACCAGCAACUGGCGCUGGGUAGGCAAAGCCCGGAGAAACUGCUGAGAUGAGAUUUGUCCCAUGAACUCCGGGGCUGCUUGAAUGUCCUUCCAAGAUGGCAGCUGGCUUCCACCAGACUGGGCAACAUGAAAGACCUUUAUGACCGUGCCUUGGACACUCAUUUCCUCAUACCGCACUGGCUGCCCCAACCAGCCCUCUUCACUGUGGAAGGGGACAAUACAGCCUGUAAAUGCCUGAAGGCAGGGAUCAUUUGGAGACCAUCUUGGAGGUUGGUGACCAUGGCAACCAUCACUUCAGCACAAAGAGAGCAGCAGGACCCGUGUGCCCCAGUGAUAUAUGAUGGAGCACAUUGCUGGGCUGGGAGUGCAAGCUUCUUCCCACCAUGAGGACCACCUGGAGGAAACCCAGAGAGGGGCUUCAGGGAGAAGGAAGAGGUGGGCGAGGCCACAGAAGAGCUCAGUUCCAGUCAGAGGAGGAGGCUGAAAAGGACCAGGGCAGUGGACCUUCCUGUCUAGGGUGCCUGUGGCAGGACCACAGUCAAGUAAGUCAGACACUUUUGGGGGAAACCCUUGUUGAGGGACAGAAGGCAGAAGGCAAUGUGGAUUCUAUUGAAGGCAAGUCUCAUUAUUGUGCAUUAAUUAUUAACAGGAUUGGGCAAACAAAAGAUGGGAGACCCAGCUGGGCCUGGCUCAGACCCUGCCGCCUGAGCAAAUGGCAUUUGGUUCCCAUCCAGGAGACUCAGCCAUGAGCAGGAGAAGUCAUGAUAAACCCAGGCUACCACCAUGGAUCCAGGAGACUCAGCCAUGAACAGGAGAAGUCAUGAUAAACCCAGGCUACCACCAUGGGAAGGACACCUUGGUGGGCAGGGCGGGGGGAGCCCCUGAAAUGAAGGGACCAUUAGGGCAAGUCCCUGACUUUCUCAGACAUGUACUGCGGACUUCAUCCUCAGGGACCGCACAGCUUCUGCUCUGUCCUGAUCUUAGGUGCCCAGAGAGGGAGGUUGCACAGUGCAGUUCCAGAAAGUACAGCCAGAACGCAGCCAGUCGUGGAGUGAGCCGUGAGCUGAGGCGGUGAGAAAGAAAGGCACACCCAUGUUCCUGGCCACACGGGUCGUAGUGUCAUUGCUGAGGCUGGGCUUAUAUACCCUCACAGAACACAACUCAGGGAGAAAGGAGUCAGAGUGGGGACUUCAAGCAGUGGGUCACCUCGCAUCCACAGGCAAGAGCAGAGAGGUGAACACUCAAGCUUACUUGCUUGCCCGCCCUCACCGGACUUGAUUUCUCUGCUUUUAUUCAGCUCAGGACACCUGAUCUGGGGAGUGGUGCCGCCCACAGUGAGCAGAGUCUUCCCGCACUAACUUCCACAAUUAAGAAAAACUCCCACAGACAUGUCCACCCGCCCACCCUCACCGGAACUCUUCCCAGGUGACUCCAGAUGUGUCUAGCUGAUGACGAAAGCUGACCACCACACCCUGCCAGUUAGGGUUUCUAUUGCUGCAAAGAGACACCAUGGCCAAGGCGACUUUUAUUAAGGAAAACAUUUGGGGGAGACAUGGCCUAGGCAGACCAGGGCCAGGACAGCAGAGAGGAAGUAAGAAUGACAGAGGGUAUCAAGAGAGAUGGGCUGGUGGCCCCUGGAAAAGAUGUGUCCAACUUCAAAUUCCUGGUACCUGUGAAUGAAGAGAAGAUGGGAUUAUGGGAAGGUGUCUGUAGAUGUCAUUAAACCCAGAUGAAGCCGCCCCUUAUUACCUGGCCCAAAAGCCAAUGACAAGUGUCCUGAUAAGAAAGAGGAAAGGCAAGGCACAAGGGGAAAGAGGAGAACACUUGUGAAGACAGGCAGAGGCGGCUUCUGGGCUGUAGACCGAGGUGUCGGGUAUUCCUGUCGAUCACCAGCAGCCAAGAGGGGACAGUACAGAUGCACCUCCGAGUUUCCCAGUCAUCAAAACAGAACGUCCUCUAUUAACUCAUAGAGAGAAAAGGUUUGGGCAUGAAGUUUUAGAGCCUGGUUGGUUCUGUCGUUCUGGGCCUGUGGUGAGGCAACAUUGAAUUACAGUGGGAGCGGUGGUGGGUGAUGUCCAACCCUCACCCCAUGGCCAACAGCCCUACCCCUACACAACGGCAUAGAGACCUAUUAAGUCUCCACUCUGAAGGGUCCAACACUUCUUGCUGCGGCCACCUCAGGAAGUAAACCUUCAAAGCCUGGACUUUGGGGACACCCCAAAGCUAAACUCAGCAGCGUCAUUCUGCCAACGCCUGCUAUCCCUUACUACACCCUGGAAUUCAUGACCCCUGGCACUGGGACCUCCAUUUCUGAUGGAAGCAACUGAAAAGAAGCCGCUGGCUCUGACACACAGGCCGGAGGGUUUCCGCAAUCUUGGUGGUAGGGGUGUGGCAGAGGCAGGUCAGUCACGGGGCAGAGUGCACCAAGACCAGAGAAAGAGGUCAUUUCUCACACAAUGAAUGGAAGCCAAAAGAUCUGCAUAUGCAGGCCAGAAAGUUCCUAGUUCCUGGAUAAAACAGAAACUCGUGAAUUAAGUGACUAAGGAGUCUGCUGCAUGCACCUUAGAUAGAAAAGGGGUUGCUGGGACCUAGCUCUUAAAUGUGUCCUGAAGGUCCCAUGGGAGGGCUUGGUUCCCAGGCAGCAGUGUUCACAGGUGGGGCUAGGAGGGCGGCAGCCUCCUGAGGGCUCUGACCUCAUGGGCGGAUCAAUUCAGUGAUGGGUUCAUAGCUUAAUGGGCUGUUAGCAGGUGGAGGAAAUGAUAGGAGGUGGGGCCUGGCUGGGGGAAGCAGGCCACUGAGAGUGGGGAUGUGUAUCUCUGUUAACCCCCUGCCUCCUGGUUGCCAUGGUGAGCAAUUCUGCUCCGUCAUAUCCUCCUUGCCAGGAUGCCUUGCCUCUCCAGGCAUCGGAGAGGGAAUUGAGUGACCAUGGACUAACCUCCAACACCGAUAAACCUUUCUUCUUUACACUGUUUCCUCCAGUGUUUCAUUACAACAUCAGAACUCUGCUUGCCUGCGAGGAAAUAGGCGCCAGGCUGGCUAGAUUGUGCCACACUGACGGCUCGGUGGCAGAAAGCCCUGAUUGUGAGGCCUGGGGAAAACACAGGCGCUCUCUGAGGAAUGGACGCUCCCAUCAGCUGUGGAUACAAAAUGCACCAGCACCACAGCCAGUAUGAAAACACAAAGCAUAAAUGAUGGCAAACAACAUCUCCAGAGGGAAUAAAAUGUCAAAAUGUUCUUAAAUGGUCUUUAGCAUAAAAUGCAAAAUAUAAGAAUUUAGCCAGGCAAGGUGGCACAGCCUGGAAUUCCAGUCUCUCAGGAGGCUGAGACAGGAGGGUCAAUUGAGCCAAGGAC